GGGCGCUGCGUCUUCGUAGGUGUCUGACGAGCUACCCACUCUGAGGACGAUAUACGGAUAACAAGACAGUGAACUGCCAAUAUGGGAAGCCAGAUCCACUGCCACUCCCAUGUAACCAAACCACCUACCGCUACCAUCCACAGAAACAAAUGCUUCAAAACGAACGGCGCGGUCGCUUGGGGCUGGGCCCAGACAAAAGCCCAGGAGAAAGCCCACAAACCCCCAAAGCCCCAGCGGGCAGGGAAGACCGUUUCAAGCCACACCUUCUGCUCUACCCUGGCAGAAGGAGAGAGAAGUCAAGGCCUAGGGCUCUGUACGUCUGGGAAGAGAGCCGAGGGCACAGACCAUACCUCCCGCCGGGCGGCUGGUAUUUCUGCUGCCUGUCCGGGUGCCCGGACACCCCCCCAAAGGAGGCAGUGGCUCCGAAAGGCUACUUACGGCCGGGCCGUCGGUGGUGGUAUAGCGGAUGAUGAUCUGGAAGGGCUGGCAGUGGUGGGGGAAAGAAGUAGGUGAAAGAGGGAGGUUUGCUGGAUCCAAACAUAAGUAAAUCCCUCAAAGCCUGAGGCCCACCUCUCUAGGGAUGGUGUACAGGAAACCUGACUGACCCAUGCUGACUCCAAAUUCCAUUUCCCCUUUUAUUGAAGACACAUCUAUUCAGCAAGGGGCAGCAGGGUUGGUGAAAGCAUGGGGGUAGUGACAGCAGCUUGGAGAAACCUCCACAGCCCUGUGGUGAGCCCAGCUGCACCUUCUGGCCAAGUUCUCCCUGGAUCUCCAUAUUUUUCUUUCUGCUUAGGAACUGAAGGCAAGAGCCCUGGUGUUAGCUCAUUGGUGUGACCUGAACUUGGCAAUUGCACUGAGGGUGAGACAAAACAGCAGAUUUUCAAGAACUGUCCAAAAUAUGGAUUUGGGUGAAAGGCUCCAACCCACUCUUCAUUAACGAAUCUGUGACUUGUGGUCGCAGUAGAUCAUUAAAUACAAAGAAACAUGAAGCGAACAAUGCUUUCUGUGCUGCUCAUCUGCAUACUAACACCCAGAAAACUUUUCUACUUUUGUUCCACUUCUUCCCUGUGGCAGUGAUGGCUGGGCUGUGAGCACCAGGUUCUUUGCUAUUAUAUUCAGGCCUAGAUCCUGAAAAUCUGUAUGCGACAUGACUGGAAAUACAAGAGUUGGUGUGGGUAGAGGAUGGGUGUUUAAGAAGACAUGGGCAUAAACAUUAUCCAGUCUACGCUAAUAAGGGGGUUAAGUAAGCUCUACACUCCCCUCUCAGGCCUCCCUCCUACUACAGGGCAGAAUCUCAUUAAUGUCAGACUGGGGUCCCUUAUGCUCCCUGUCCUGCUCAGCACUUAAACUUGUAUCAUCCUGUACUGGGCAUCGUGGAAAUAAUCUGCUGUACUCUUAAAGAAACUGAUCUGUCUUAAAGGGAAAGUCAGCUCCAGAUUGAUACAUCAAGAGAAACCCCCGAUGGUGAGAACUACUCAGCAGUGGGACUCUGCCAACAGCCCUGCUGCUCAGCCAGCGAUUUGUGUGCCUCAAAGAAACGCCUUCACGCAACAAGAGUGUACAAAACCCAAAAUAGUUUUAUUCGCUUUUUCAGAUUUUUGCCUCGACAAAACAUUUUGCAAACAUGCUAAGGCUACAAAAUGUCCAAGUUGACAAAGACAUGCAAUGCUGAGCAUUCAAUAAGUCACGGCUAUAACUGGAGUGACCACUCCCACCUGGGCCCCGGGGCCCACAGAACAGGGAUGGUGUACAGUAAUUAUGGUAACGUACCACACAGGACUCAGCAACCUGAGGUAGGUCUCUUUACAGUAAGAAAAUAACUUCCUUCCAGUGUCACACCCUGAUCAGUAGGAACCUGUUCAAAGUUGCAGAAGACUUUGGGGUGUUAAGCUAAUACGUGUGCAAGACCAAAACAGGAAAUGCUGAUGUAUUAUAAGCUUAGUGUAAGUGAGCAGCUUGAAGGGGGAGUGUUAUGUAUGCCUAUAAGAACCAACCUCAACCUGUAAGGAGCAUUAGCAGCUUCAAGAUAAAGGAUUCAACUGGAGCAGCUCAGGAAAGAAAAAAGACUUUAGUGCCAGCAACCCAGGGUUUGGAUUUGAACUUCAGAGAGCAAUCGUUUUACUGUAGGUUGUUCUAUAAACAUUUAGAUUCUAAUCACCAGUUAGAUCAGCAAAGCAGGAGUUUGGUUAUUUUAAUAGAAACAAAACCCAAACUCCAUUGAUACAUUAGGGAAUUGCCCCAGGACACUGCACGAGAAAGAGCUGCUGCAUUCCCAUCACUGCACCAGGACACAGUGAUCGUGGAACUUUCCUGUGACCACGAAGUGGUCUUCUCCCUGAACCACUCAGGAGAUCAUAAAAAAGCUACCCUGGGAAAGCAUCAUGGGAAGCAGCUGCCACCAUGAACAUUAGUGAUGCUCCAAACAGCUUUAACAAUAGUUACGAUGCAAUAGAGUUACACCACAGAGCCCUUCCCCCUUGUGCAGGACGACAACGAUGGAACAUUGAAGGACACUACUGCAAAGCUUCACUUCCAUUCAGACACGCAGAAAAUCCGGCACUACGAAAAGACCAGCUGUAAGAGACUAAAUGGUGUCUGAUACAGUCUGAUAAAGCCAGCUCUCUAGUACCGUAAACUGUACAAAAA